rnacentral:rRNA from 1 species
AUUGAACGCUGGCGGCAGGCUUAACACAUGCAAGUCGAGCGGGGAAGGUUGCUUCGGUAACUGACCUAGCGGCGGACGGGUGAGUAAUGCUUAGGAAUCUGCCAUUUAGUGGGGGACAACAUUCCGAAAGGAAUGCUAAUACCGCAUACGUCCUACGGGAGAAAGCAGGGGAUCUUCGGACCUUGCGCUAAAUGAUGAGCCUAAGUCGGAUUAGCUAGUUGGUGGGGUAAAGGCCUACCAAGGCGACGAUCUGUAGCGGGUCUGAGAGGAUGAUCCGCCACACUGGGCCUGAGACACGGCCCAGACUCCUACGGGAGGCAGCAGUGGGGAAUAUUGGACAAUGGGCGGAAGCCUGAUCCAGCCAUGCCGCGUGUGUGAAGAAGGCCUUAUGGUUGUAAAGCACUUUAAGCGAGGAGGAGGCUACCUAGAUUAAUACUCUAGGAUAGUGGACGUUACUCGCAGAAUAAGCACCGGCUAACUCUGUGCCAGCAGCCGCCGUAAGAC